UCGGACGCUUAACCGACUGAGCCACCCGGGCACCCCAUAUUCUGCAUUUCUAAUGAACUAGCCUCCACCCCAGAUCUUCUCAAGCAGUGUCUUCAUUUUUUGAAAAAAAACAUUUUUUGUAUGUUUUAUUUUUUUAUCAGUAUCUUCAUUUUCACGAGAUCCCUGGUGAUUUGCAUGCAUACUGCAGUCUGAAAAACCCUGGCUCGAGUCACUUUUAGCUGGGUGUUAUUUUUCUCACAUCUGAACACUUAAGAUAGUUGCUGCGACCUCAUUGGGAGCUACCGACUGAGGUUUGUGACUCUUUGGCUCGUGCGGUUUUCUGGCCAUGGGGUGCCCCCUUCUCUCUUGCUUGUUCUUUUGGACAAUCUGGUCUGUCUCUCCCCCUCCCACUUAUUCACAGGCUAACAUGUCUCCUUCAAGACUCAGCAAAGGCAUCACCUCCACCAGGAAGCCCACCUGACUCCCUCCGGGUUGAAUCAGGAGCACUUCCUAGAGCGGUUAGUGUCACGCCUUUUCUUUGCGUGUCUGCUUACCUGAGUCCUCAAUUCAGCCUUGAGGAAAAUCUCUCUCUCCUCUCUCUCUCUCUCUCUCUCUUUCUUUUUUUUUUUUAUUCUUUGUACCCUCCACACCUCUCCUCUGUCUGGCACAACCGCUGAAGAAGUUUCUGGAAGAUGGAACGAAGCGUGCUUUGCUGGCCUGCUGCUCGCCGCGUGUCCCGCUCCCCCCGGGGCUCCGGGCCUUCAAGGCGCUGACAAGGCCUGCAGCCCGGGCGGGAUGAGGGAAUUAGGGGGCCUGCUGGCCCAGCAGCUGUAUCACCCUCCUGUCCCUCCCCCGCGCCCUCCAGGGAGCGCACACGUCAGAAGCAGCUGCUCUCUUUCCCCGGAACAAAUGUCACCAGGCAACCAGCUGGCAGCUGAGCCAGCGGAAGACCCCACAGAGAAGGGCUCCCGGAGCCGAACGCGCUCGGCCUGCCCGCGCCUGUGGACCAUGUGGGUCAGCGUGGAGCGAGCCAGGGAGAGACAGGCGUGGGUCUAGGAGGUGCAGUGUCGACCCUGCAGCUACGGUCGAAGCCGUGAACAUGGGAUUGCUGCCCCCCUGGAGUGUUUGAAGGCAGCAGCCGCAGCCCCACCUUCCUGGCCCCUCAGAUCCCUGACUGCAAUACAGGCAGGGGCUCCCCUGGCAGGUAAGCUCUGUGGUGAUGGUCUAGGAAUCCCUCCUCUGGGCCCAGUCUCCAGGCUGUUCCUCCAGCCCUUCCAAUAAUCUGUGAGCA
rnacentral:lncRNA from 1 species